UACGGAGGGUGCGAACGUUAAUCGGAAUUACUGGGCGUAAAGCGCGCGUAGGCGGUUUGGUAAGUGGGAUGUGAAAGCCCCGGGCUUAACCUGGGAACUGCAUUCCAAACUGCCGAACUAGAGUAUGGAAGAGGGAGGUAGAAUUUCCUGUGUAGCGGUGAAAUGCGUAAAUAUAGGAAGGAAUACCCGUGGCGAAGGCGGCCUCCUGGACCAAUACUGACGCUGAGGUGCGAAAGCGUGGGGAGCAAACAGGAUUAAAUACCCUGGUAGUCCACGCCGUAAACGAUGUCUACUAGCCGUUGGGGCCCUUGAGGCCUUAGUGGCGCAGCUAACGCGAUAAGUAGACCGCCUGGGGAGUACGGCCGCAAGGUUAAAACUCAAAUGAAUUGACGGGGGCCCGCACAAGCGGUGGAGCAUGUUGUUUAAUUCGAUGCAACGCGAAGAACCUUACCUCCCCUUGACAUCCUCAGAACUUGUCGGAGGCGACUUGGUGCCUUCGGGAACUGAGUGACAGGUGCUGCAUGGCUGUCGUCAGCUCGUGUCGUGAGAUGAUGGGUUAAGUCGCGUAACGAGCGCAACCCUUGUCCUUACUUGCCAGCGGGUCAUGCCGGGCACUUUAAGGAGACUGCCGGUGACAAACCGGAGGAAGGUGGGGAUGACGUCAAGUCCUCAUGGCCCUUACGGGGUGGGCUACAAACGUCCUUCAAUGGGGCGUACAGAGGGCUGCCACCCCGCGAGGGUGAGCGAAUCCCAAAAAGCCUCUCGUAGUCCGGAUCGGAGUCUGCAACUCGACUCCGAGAAGUCGGAAUCGCUAGUAAUCGCGAAUCAGAAUGUCGCGGUGAAUACGUUUCCGGGCCU
rnacentral:rRNA from 1 species